AGUGGAGGAACCUGCUGAGUGAGUAAGCCAGCCCAGUUAAUCUCCCAUGUGCCCCGGUGUGAUUGGGGCCAAGGCCAACCGCACGCUGAGGGCACAGUGGCUGAGUUCUGGAGUGUGGAUGGUUGUGGGCCGAAGACUGGAGGCUCCUAUCUCCCAGACACAGAGGGGGAUGUUGGGUUCUUUAUCAAGGAGCCCCUGAGAGGAUGAUAAAUCGCCACAGCCUGGGCCCAUCUCCGCUGGAACAACAAGCAGAGCCUUGUGACAGAUAACAAGCCUCUGUCAGCUUGAUUCUUUGUUUAUUGAGAGGCAGAGCAGUAGAUGAGGAUCAGCACCAGGGCCUAAUGGGGAAAUAGCCCCCGCUAUGCUCGUGGUGGCUAGUGGUACUGCCCGAUUGCCUCUGAGCCUGGCUUUUUGACCUCCUAUCAACAACCCUUCCUCACAUCACAAACAGCCCUCCACCCACAUACAUGGCCUCUGUAUUCCUUUUUCUCAAACCAUAACACUCGGUCCAACCCCUGGCCUUGUGUUGCUCCUCCCAUACCCGCUCCGCCUCUGCGUGGCAGCUCCCUGGAGCCCACCAACCCCAUGCCCCCUUUUCAAGACCAUCAUACUGUAAAGCCUGAAGCACUUACAGAUAAAGAGACCCCAGAAAUCAAGCAGGGCCAGCAGCAGAGCAGAUUGAGAGUCAGAGCUCAGCACCCGAGAGGCGCCCACAGGGUACGUAUGCUGCAGAUAGUAGCAUCGGAUAGUUAGACAGGAGAGCAAGAAAACAUGAAACUUCCUGCCCUCUUUCCUGGACUUCUCUGGUUGGACAAUGCUUCCGCGUCACACAUCAACCAUCAAGCCCCUCCACCCCCAUGUCUGCUCUCUCACUCUGACUCCCCCGUUCCCCCUUUCAGAUAAAGAGAAGGCCUCGUUCCCUGCCGACUCAAACUGACAGCUUGAGCCAAAGGGCUCCACAAGCUUUUUUGGAAGGUCUUGUUUGUUUUCAUCCAUCUGUGAGUAUGUGGCCGCUGGGGAAUAGGAAUGUGACAUGUUCUAUUAAAACAAAUUUUUUUUAAAAAGUGGAGAAAAAAAAAAGAUUGCACCGAGAUCAAUGUCUUUUGAAGUUAAGCUUUGUUCAGUGCUUUAACUGCAGUCCUUUGAGGCAGAUUAACGAUGACAAACCAUUUAUAGUUGUUUUGUUUGUCUGGAUGAUUGCUUCCAAGCGGCAAUAAGAACUGCCAUAUGCCACUCAUCAGCUAAAAGUAGCACACUUUAAAGAAUGUUCCUCUUAUGAGUUCCCCUUUAAGCAAAGGACAUAAAGGACGACCGCUGUCUGUAUUACCCAGAGACUAGACAUCUCACUGAAACAAUGGGAGGAGAAAAGCACAAAUUUAUGGUUCGAAAAUGCACUGGGGCAAGGCAACAGAUGCUUUCAAGGGAUAAAAAUAGUCCUGCUCUGACAAUUUGUGAGAUAGCGUAUGUUUGAAAGGAUUGAGCUGACGGUUAGCAAAGCAUCACUAACUAUUCCUCUUGGGCAUUUACCUUGAAUAACACUCUGCAUGUCCUGUGACACAAAAUUUUAUCUGAAUUUCUCUUAAUACACAUUUAUGACACAUGUUUUACUGCUAAGAACCUCAAAUUGUACGUGUACAUGCAUUUCUCUAGAGGUAAGAAAUUGUAUUUAUUGCAUAUGAGGGUCUUUAAAAGGCUUUUAGGUAUAUUGUUAAAUAUGUGAGCAAGAGGAUCCUCCAUUGACAGUCACUAGAGGAAGACAUAAAACUGCAGCUCCGGCGAACAGUGCUGAUCGAUGCCAAUAAAACGAGGCUCUUCUCGCCAAGGUAGCACAGGACACCUUCCCGCAAUUUAAUCAGUCAGUCAGCCAGAAUUAAUGUUCCUAAUAUCAUGAUUUCUCCAUUACUCUAUUUAACAUAAUUAAAAUGUCGAGCGCCGGGGCCAUAAAGCGGGUCGUUGGAGAUUGUAAUUCUGCCGUAAAGCUAUGAAGCAUGAAAAUGUCACUUACCGAGUAGCCGCGGCCUGACAGCGAGUGAGUGGAACUCUGUAGGGAGAGAGAGGAGAACAGGGAUGACCUUUAAGGAGCGUUUCACUCGCUGACACAGACAUGAUGAAGCAGCGCCGCUUUAAUAUCAAUAUUCACGUUAACCUUUUACCUGCCCUGCCAUGUACCCCACUCCCACACACAUCACUCCCAUACAUCUUGGCCUGAGCUACAUCUGCUCUGAAAACAAUCACUUGUGUCCUGCCGAGAGAUAUAAUUUCAUUUUGUUAUAAAUACAUUCAGAAUUUCAUAUAAUAUCUAAUCAAAUUAAACUGGUACACAAUAACCUUUUUACAGCCACAAAAACUCUGAAUUGCCAAUAAAGUGAUAAUCACCCCAAUUAUUUUUCAAUUUUUGUCUUCUGUAGUUUGGGAGCCAACCGUAUCUCUUUUGGCUCUGAUGAUUUCAUAUUUCAUAUAAUGUGUAUCAGUGGAUGACAGUAUCAGGUGUCACCACUUACAGUAUUUGUUUGGAUUCACUUGCCUAGACUGUGCCUUUGCAUGUGACAUCUCACAUUGACAGGUAAUGAAUCCAUCCUUACUUCAGCACAUCAAUUGAUAAAACACACGUUGAUGAAGAAAUUGUUGUUUUGAGAGUGACAGUUGAAGCGGAGACAGAGCUCUCAAAUUUCCUGAUACCUUCAGAUGUUUGGCUUCUCUUCCAGCUCGUCUUGCAAUUUUCCAACUAUUUACUAUGUGUUCAAAACGCAUAGUAUUGAAUAAGAACAGAAGCAACAGGCAUUUCAGUGUGACUGGUAAAUCGCUAAUCAUAGAAC